rnacentral:rRNA from 1 species
AUGCUGACAUAAGUAACGAUAAAGCGGGUGAAAAGCCCGCUCGCCGGAAGACCAAGGGUUCCUGUCCAACGUUAAUCGGGGCAGGGUGAGUCGACCCCUAAGGCGAGGCCGAAAGGCGUAGUCGAUGGGAAACGGGUUAAUAUUCCCGUACUUGGUGUUACUGCGAAGGGGGGACGGAGAAGGCUAUGUUGGCCGGGCGACGGUUGUCCCGGUUUAAGCGUGUAGGUGUGUGUUCCAGGUAAAUCCGGUUCACUUUAACACUGAGGCGUGAUGACGAGGCACUACGGUGCUGAAGCA